UAUCCAGCAAAUAGGUAAUGAGAAUACUCAAAUUUAUCAGGUAGAAGUAGUUAUCUUGAUCUGACACCAAGUUCUCAUAACUAAUUUACAAGGAAAUCUGUAGCAGCCAGAGGGGAGAAUUAACUAUCAGAUCUUGAGAAUUAAGGGUUAAAAGAAACAUCUCAGUGGCAACUGUACUGACUGAAGACCUUUGAUGAAUGCUUUGAUGAAGCUGAACAUGAGAAAUGUUAACAAGAUAUGGAGUCUCUGCCUGUGUGCACUCAAGCCACACUAAAACUUGGGUAUUAUAAUAGGCCAUCACUGUCUUUCAGCCACAACCAUCAUUUGAGGCAAGAAGACCACCCAUGCUCAACUCAGUUUGACUUCAUCACACUUACCAAUUAACAUCUCCUUGGCUUUUUCUUUCAUUUGAUUCCUGUAAAUGUUUGUUGAGUGCUUUUGUCAAUGUGACUGCACUUUCAUUUUACAAAGUCAGCAGCAACACCUACAAAAUAUCAGUUGAAGACUAUGCAAAAGUUUGUUACAAUUCCUUGAAACCACUUCAAGAUAUAAUUACCUGGACACGUUUAUAAAAUUAUUACAAGCACAUCUCGUGUGUGUGUUUCACAUCCAAUUUACAUGCUUGAAACACACCAAUGGGUGUAUUGAAAUCAAACGCAAUCUUGUGUAAUGCACUGGUAAAUUACGCACCAUCAGCCAAUUGUAACAUAAUAAGUGAGCCCCAUAAGAAAACAGUGUGCGCACUAAGACUGAAGGUGUGAAUUGAAUGUUGAAGCUGUUCCAUUCACUUACCAAGAGAACAUCUUGAGCUGCAAUGCAAACAGAAAACGAAAAGGUGUCAUCAUCCUCAUCUUCAGCAAAUUGAUUUGGAUUGGAUGUCCACACUUGCCUUGAAGGAGGCAAAUAACAACAAAAGAGGUUAUCGUUUGAUCAAUGUGACAAGUAUCUAGAAGCCACCUGUUGUUGAUUAUGUGAGUGCAAAAUAGACUAGAGAUAAUAGGCUGGAAAUAAAAAUGAAAAACAAAACCCACCUGCUCUUCUGUGAUUUGCAUGUACAACACUAAGAAAUGAACAAGUUCAUCUAAAAACUUCUUGACAGUUUUCUUGCAUUUUGGUGUUUCCGUAAGUCCACAGAUAAACUCAAAAACACUGAAAACAAGAUUCUCAAAUCCCAACACUUCUCCUAAGACACAAGAAAAGAAAAAGUAGUGAUGGUAAGAAGAGGUAAUGUUGCACAAACUGAUUUUUUUCAGCACAAUUUUUGUUGUUCAAUGAAUGUGGUGCCAUUUGCUUCGUGUAGUUCUUAACCAAUGUCAUUAAUGCCUUAAUGGGGAUAAAGUGAAUGACAUUUUGUUUUUUAAUGAAUACAAGAUGGACAGUAGCUUAGAUUAACACUGAAUAAGAGUGCUCAAUUAUGACAAGUACAAUGAAUGAACCAGAGCUGAUAUGUUGAGUUUAUUGGUGAUUUACAAAAAGAAAGGAAAAGGGAAUUUGGAAUCUUUAAUACACUUCCUGGAAUUUUCAUCUUUGGGAUUGAAGCAUGUCAUUUUCUGAGCAGGAAAAGUAAAUAAAAAAAGCCGUGCUUCAAUAAUUGAUUUCUUGAAUGCCAAUGAUUGCACAAAAAAUAGUGACUUUCUGGAUGGAAUGAGAAAUUCAUAUGCUUUUGAUGAGGAAUGUAAAUUUUGAAAAAAAAACAUUUUAACUUCUUGGCUUGUAAGGAGAAGGUUUAUCCAUUGUACCAAGUAUGCAUAUAUAGCAUAAGAUAAUGAUAUGAUAUAAGCAAUAAAUUUCAAUUCAUACAUGCAUUGCAGGCCUACAUUCUUGCUCUCAUUCCCAGCCAAAGGUAGUGUGGAUUGUGUAAUUACAAAAGGAAGCCAGCAUACCAUGAAACAAGGAAUAAGGAAGCAAUCCAUACAAUAAACACAGAAAAAGGUUUGCUAUAUAAAAUCAGACUAAUCAAAAACCAACCUUUAGCACUUCCAUCUUCAGGCCACAUUCAAGUGUGGAACUAUCAGACAUUGCCAGAACUUCAACAAAUGCUUGGGUGAAUUGUGGAAGAAGAGGAAAGAGGACAUCCUUGGUAAUACCCUGUAAUGAGAAUUUGUUAAAAAUAUUGUCCAAUUUCUAAUUAAAAAUGAAUAACAAACAAAAUUGCAAUACUACUGCUUGCAUGCAAAACUUUUAG